rnacentral:lncRNA from 7 species
GUGGAUGUUUAUGCGUUCUUUGUCUAUAUUAUUAUCUGGCAUCAAACACAUUACUGUUUUCUCCUUCGUUCCGCCCUAUUCUCACAGCUUCGCCCUCUUCGUUUUACGACAUGCUGGCCGCUCACAUCAAUUCACGUGUCCUAGAAUCCUUCUCUUGUUCAUAGCCAUCCAUGUGGUUGCUUUUCUGCCACUACCGGAUUGCCCGCUUCAUUUGGCGAUAGAGUAGAUGGAAGCACAGGAGAGGAGAGGAGAUGAGGAAGAGUGAUGCAACGAUGGCGAAGACGAGGAACAUGACGACAAUAGCAGUGAUGCUGGCCACGAAGACGAAGACGAACACCACCAUGACAACAACCUGCUGCAAAAAGUCUCAAACUGAAGUGUGGCUUAUAAUUCAGCGCGCUCUUCGAAUGAUGAGGACAGAUGCGUGAAGAACACAGUAAUUAAGGAUGAUGAGGAUCCCCAUCGAGGAACACGAGGUUUAGAAUCCAACGUAGAUUGUGGUGGUGGAGGAUAUGAGGUAAUAAGCUCUGUGCCUUCUCUCCUCGAUAUUAACAGCAGCAACGACGACGUGGCGUUCGUUUAGGAACACGUAUAGAUGCAUGGUGACGCUGGCCGGCCUGAUCGACAUCAUUUUG